GACGAACGCUGGCGGCGUGCUUAACACAUGCAAGUCGAGCGGAAAGGCCCUUUCGGGGGUACUCGAGCGGCGAACGGGUGAGUAACACGUGAGUAACCUGCCCUUGGCUUUGGGAUAACCCCGGGAAACCGGGGCUAAUACCGGGUAUGACCCUGCCGGGCAUCUGGUGGGGUGGAAAGCUUUUGCGGUCAGGGAUGGGCUCGCGGCCUAUCAGCUUGUUGGUGGGGUGAUGGCCUACCAAGGCGACGACGGGUAGCCGGCCUGAGAGGGCGACCGGCCACACUGGGACUGAGACACGGCCCAGACUCCUACGGGAGGCAGCAGUGGGGAAUAUUGCACAAUGGGCGGAAGCCUGAUGCAGCGACGCCGCGUGAGGGAUGACGGCCUUCGGGUUGUAAACCUCUUUCGACAGGGACGAAGCGUGAGUGACGGUACCUGGAGAAGAAGCGCCGGCCAACUACGUGCCAGCCGCCGCGGUAAUAC
rnacentral:rRNA from 1 species